rnacentral:rRNA from 1 species
AUUAGAUACCCCUGUAGUCCUGGCAGUAAACGGUGCACGCUUGGUGUGAGAGGAUUCGACCCCUCUUGUGCCGGAGCUAACGCGUUAAGCGUGCCGCCUGGGAAGUACGGUCGCAAGACUAAAACUCAAAGAAAUUGACGGGGACCCGCACAAGCGGUGGAGUAUGUGGCUUAAUUCGAUGCAACGCGAAGAACCUUACCAAGGCUUGACAUGCAUCUCUAAGCGCGUGAAAGCGCGUGACCCUUCGGGGAAUUUGCACAGGUGCUGCAUGGCCGUCGUCAGCUCGUGUCGUGAGAUGUUGGGUUAAGUCCCGCAACGAGCGCAACCCUUGUGACUAGUUGCCAGCACGUCAAGGUGGGAACUCUAGUCAGACUGCCCAGAUCAACUGGGAGGAAG